UUCUGAAAGUAUAAAUUUUCAGUAAAACCUGCUCAAUGGGCUUUAAUAGCCGCUACUUAUGUGCAAAGGUAGCAUAAUCAAUUGUCCUUUAAUUAAGGUCUAGUAUGAAAGGUUAAACAUGUAAAUUCCUUUAUUAUUUUUAAUUCUUUAAUUUUAUUUAUAAGUAAAAAAGCUUAUAUUUUAAAGAAGGACGACAAGACCCUUCCGAGCUUUACUUUAGUUGAACUGGGGAGGUAAAAAACUAAAUCUUUAUUUCCAUUUUUUUUAUUUCAUCCUUAAAUUAGAUUAUAUCAAGUUACCGUAGGGAUAACAGCAUAAUUUUUUCUAAAAGACCAGAUUUAAGAAAAAGAUUGUGACCUCGAUGUUGAAUAUAUAUCUUUUUAGGGUAUAAUCUAAAUAAGAAAGUCUGUUCGACUUUUAAAACAUUACA
rnacentral:rRNA from 1 species